CCUGGGAGGCAUGGUAAAGUAUGCUGAAAGUGACCUUCAGUUUCCUCAUAUCAUCUUGACACAAAUGAGCCAGGCACUUGUAAUUUUCAUUAUUCGCCACAAGAAGAGGAGCUUCUCUCAGUAGGAAAUAUACAACAUCCAAAAAUAUAGAGGUAUUUUAUGUAUCUCAUGAGUGAUUACUUAAAGAAGGUUGAAGGGUUGGAGAAUCAAUGGAGAAGGUGACGAGUGAAGGAGAGAAAAUUAUAGCCAAACUGCCACCAUGCAGAGGGUGACGUGAUUUACCCAAGGCUGACUCAGGAUCAGUUCUCCUAAAAGAAGUUCAACUGAGUAGCAUGUAGGAAUCAUAUGCAAAGAAGCUUCUCGAUGCAGGACAGAGCACAGCCUCAGGAAGGUCACACAGGUCAAGCUGAUUACCUCCUCCAGCUCUGGCAAGCAGAGGGCUCAGCUGGGUUACCCAAGUUCACAAGGAGCUAUUGACAUUCAGCUUCAGCUCUCACUCAUUACAGAUCAGCAGGGGACUGUCUGGGCCUUAGGUUAACUCUUCCCUGCCCUCUUUCAAGAUUGCAGUGAGGCUAAAAAUGAAAAGAAGCUGCACGGUAACAUGGACACAGUUUAUUCCUGGUUAUUAUUCAAGAAAUGAACCUUUUCAACCAAUAUCUAAUAAACCUCUUCCAAGGGAA